rnacentral:lncRNA from 1 species
UUGUCACCAAGUUCGUCGAAGGAAGCUGUGUAUAAUAUCUCUUCAGAAAUAAAUCCAUCAUCACCAUCAUCAAACUCGGGUUCAGGAUCACAAAGUAGGUAAUCCUUUGAUGAUCCAGGCUCUGAUAGACCCUCUGCGUGCCCCAACAACAUUGUGCAAGUCUAGAACUGAAACAAAAUGCGUGAAACGUGAAUAUAGAAUCUGUAUUUUAAAGAUGUGCUAGCUUCACAAUUAAUUCUUUUUCUUUGACACCACAACAUAACUAUUUAUCUGUAGAUCAAUUGCUUCACGUACAAAAUUCAAGCGUGCAAUAAAAAUUAUCUUAACAAGUUAGUAUUGCUUACUCAUUGAAAUGGAUUAGGCCGCACACCAAAAUUAAAUGCGGGCAAUGAAACAAGAUUCUUGACGCACUCUCAAGAAGGAAAGAAAGAAAGAAAGAACAAAACAACAUUUUAAAAAGAGAAAGCUCUACCCGUUGCUAGAAAAACACUGAUCUUUCAGUAAAUAAUCAGCACAGCUUUUUAUUCGCCUUUUGGUUCCCGAAGAAUCCUAGGGACGGAAACUCAAGAAUCUCAUUUCUAAACAAUUAGCUCAGCAAUAUAUUCUCGGGAACCAAACAGUGAAAAUAGAAAAGAAAAGAAAAGAAACAGAGGAAAGAAUAUGAAAUAGAAUUUUGUUGUUUACUUACCUUUCAAAUCUUCGAUGUCUUAAUUGGAAAAAACUUCAGAUUAAAUUAUGGACGUUGAUGUUAGGGUUUCGAUGUGAAAUUUUGGGGGUUCAGUUUCAAUUGAUCGCCAAAACUACCAGUCCAUGCUACUGAUGAUCUUUACUAGGUUCGCGGUGGCAACUAGCCAUACAUGAAAAACCAAACCGAACAAGGAAGAGAACUUCUAAGAUACGCUCAUUUAGACGCUACGGAUUAAUACAAUCUAAUGCUCAAGGCCGUUGGAUUAAUUUCCCCGCAAUAGAUGGGCCCACUUAUAAUUGCC